AUAUUAUUAAGUGGAGGAAAAGAAACCAAAAGGGAUUCCCCCAGUAGCGGCGAGCGAAAAGGGAUCAGCCCAAAGCCGAAUCCCGCGUUCUUUGAGCGCCGGGAAAUGUGGCGUAUGGGAUUGGGUCUAACAGCGCGUCGAGGGCGGCUCAAGUCUCCAUGAACGGAGCUACCGAAGCGGGUGCCAGUCCCGUACAGUCGCCUCUCGCACGUUGUGCUGGCCUUAUCCCGGGAGUCGGGUUGCUUGAAAGUGCAGCCCAAAGUGGGUGGUAUACUCCACCUAAGGCUAAAUAUUCCCGAGAGACCGAUAGCAAAAAAGUACCGUGAGGGAAAGUUGAAAAGAACUUUGAAGAGAGAGUUCAAUAGUACGUGAAACCGCUUAGAGAUAAACGGGUGGGCCUUCGAAGCCUGAAGUUGCCUUCAAACGAGACUGUUCGCCUCUCAGGGACAGCCGACAGAUGACGACCGUCUUCGGCAACCCUGAGGGAAACGAAGGUUUCGUCGCAUUGACGCCUUCAGAGGCCGCGACUGGUUGGUCGACCGUUGGAAGGACGGCCCUGUGUCAAGGUAGCCCUCCGCUUCAUUGAGGUGGGUGUAAAAGGCCUGGGCAGUAUGGCUGACGGUCGUGCCGACUCAGGACGAGAGAAACCUCGCACGGCGUUCCCUCCGAGUGAGCGCUAACCAUCACUGGUUAGCGCAGGGAUGCCAGGGGUCAGCGGUCAGUAGAUCGGGUCCCACCCGACCCGUCUUG
rnacentral:rRNA from 1 species